UACGGAGGGACUAGCGUUGUUCGGAAUUACUGGGCGUAAAGCGCACGUAGGCGGAUUGUUAAGUCAGGGGUGAAAUCCCGAAGGCUCAACCUCGGAACUGCCUUUGAUACUGGCAAUCUCGAGUCCGGAAGAGGUGAGUGGAAUUCCUAGUGUAGAGGUGAAAUUCGUAGAUAUUAGGAAGAACACCAGUGGCGAAGGCGGCUCACUGGUCCGGUACUGACGCUGAGGUGCGAAAGCGUGGGGAGCAAACAGG
rnacentral:rRNA from 1 species